rnacentral:rRNA from 1 species
GACGAACGCUGGCGGCGUGCUUAACACAUGCAAGUCGAGCGGAAAGGCCCUUCGGGGUACUCGAGCGGCGAACGGGUGAGUAACACGUGGGUAACCUGCCCUUCACUCUGGGAUAACUCCGGGAAACCGGGGCUAAUACCGGAUACGACCACUUUAGGCAUCUUCGGUGGUGGAAAGUUUUCGGUUGGAGGAUGGACCCGCGGCCUAUCAGCUUGUUGGUGGGGUAAGUGGCCUACCAAGGCAGUGACGGGUAGCCGGCCUGAGA